rnacentral:rRNA from 1 species
UACGAAGGGGGGCUAGCGUUGCUCGGAAUCACUGGGCGUAAAGCGCACGUAGGCGGAUUCUUAAGUCGGUGGUGAAAGCCCGGAGCUCAACUCCGGAAUUGCCUUUAAGACUGCAUCGCUAGAAUCAUGGAGAGGUGAGUGGAAUUCCGAGUGUAGAGGUGAAAUUCGUAGAUAUUCGGAAGAACACCAGUGGCGAAGGCGACUCACUGGACAUGUAUUGACGCUGAGGUGCGAAAGCGUGGGGAGCAAACAGG